UUUCAAUAUUUUUAGAAGUUUCAAAUUCAUCACUAAAACACUACAUAUUUUAGGUUGUUCAAUAUAAUAUUAUAGGCAUUUUCUUGAUAAAAACCGAAGAUCACUAACAAUAUAUAAGUUUUGUGAAAUCUUGAAUUUCAAUCGACAUUGUGAAACGGCCUUCUAAAGUUAACACCACUAGAUAUUUAUGUAGUAAAAAACUUAUAAACUGUGAUAAUUAUUUGAAUUUUUUUUCAUUUGUAUAUCUUUAAACUUUUACUUUACGUACGAAUAAUUAUCUAAUAUAUAUUUAAGACCACAAUUUUAUUAAUAAAUUUUUAAAUAUUUUAUAAAUUUUUUAAAAUAAUGUUUAAAAAAAUAUUCAGGAGGUAUCUUGAAAUCUAAAAAAUUAAUAAAAUUUAUAAAAAAAAUAUGAAAAAUUUUUUUUCCUAGAUUGGUCGCUGCACUGCACAAAGCAAAUAAAUGAAAUGAAUUCCACAGUUUAAUAAUGUUAUUUUUUAUUUUAAUCACAAACCCAUUGGCCCGAGAGUAUAAAUAUCGUGCCCAGACAGAGCACAAACUUGCAAUGUUAGAAAGUCAAUCUUCUUUGUCUAGCAAAGAAUCUAAGGUUAAACUAGGUUUGGAUGGCUUGGGAUUAGAUGUUUGAGUUUGUUUAGGUUUUUCAUAGUCAUAUUAAUACUGAUAAAAUAAAUUAUUUUACUG